CGGAACAGGCAGCCACAGCUCCGCUCUAUUCGGCAGAGCGUGGGAGCCGCCUGGAGGACCAGCUCCGCUUCGAUCCGGGCAAGCGGGUGGCACCGCCCCCGUCAGUCGAAGCGUGGGAGCCGACGUGUGGACCAGCUCCGCUCUAUUAUUUGAGCGUGAGAGCCGCCUGGAGGAGCAGCUCCGCUCUAUUACCUGAGCGUGGGAGCCCUUCGGAGGACCGGCUUCGCUUCGACCGGGUAAGCGGGUGGCACCGACCCAUCAGUCGAAGCGUGAGAGUCGCUUCAGGUGACGCGGAGGAGGAGUAGCUAGGCGAAACGUCAGAUUACGACAUGUGUGUAUGUGUGACUCAGCACCCGCUCGUUCCCGGAGCAGCUGCUGUCAAAGAAGUCCCAUCUGAUUUCGGCGGAAAAGAAAACAUUAUCUUUUACCUGAAAUAAAAGAACGGCUACUCUGUUGCCCUCCGACUGAUAAAGGCCGAUCGUUAUCAUCGAAAACAUUCUUAAGAACAGAAAGAUUAAUGCACGGGGAUGACAAGCUACGCCAUCUUUGUCACAUCUUUUCUGAAUCACCAAUACGAGUGCACUGCGAAUGCAACAUAAACAAUAGAGCUUGCUGACGUUUACUCAUCCUUCU